rnacentral:lncRNA from 1 species
CCGGUCCAAGUAUUUUAAAACUCUGCGUGUGACAUUAAUUUAAUGUACAUUUUAUAAAAUAAAAACGUGUCACUUAUGUAUCAACUGGUCACGGCAAUGUUAAGUCGCUACAGGACAAGAAAUGAACCAGCGGACACGAUUAACAGAAGCGCGCGGGAUCGAAUGGUUUCUAGGAAGCCACGUAUCGUCUUCUCCAUGGAGCAAUAACAUACAGCCAUGCAAAAGCUAGGGCACGCGAAAAAC